UGUGGAGCAGAUGGUCACCUGUGAGGGG
rnacentral:piRNA from 1 species